GGGCCCGUAGCUCAGCCUGGAUGGAGCGCCGGCCUUAUAAGGCUGGUGCUCCUACAGCCGAAGAAAGCCGGAGGUCCGGGGUUCAAAUCCCCGAGGGCCCA
rnacentral:tRNA from 1 species